ACAUUUUAAAGUAAGUUUACCGUAUAUAAAAGCCAUACAGUUCUAUUGGUUACGAAUCUUUUGUGUUAUCGCCGAAUUUACAUAAAAAUUAAAGUUUAUGACUCAAUUUCGGCUGAAACUAAAAUGCAUGUGGAGAAUGAAAAAAAGAAAGUCAAAUCUCUUCGCACAGCAUACAAUGCAGAGAGCAGUAAGGUGUAAAGGAGCCAAAAAUGUGGAUGUGGAAAAGAAAGAAAGCAUGGGCUCCGACACGAACGAAAUAUUACUUUCCGAUUCAUCAUAUAUUGAGCAAUGCAUUGAAGAAGCGCCAUCUUCCGCAAAAAGAACAAAAACGAAAACAGUGUAUUUGAAACUUUUGAUGCUUAUCAAACUAUGGCUGAUAUUUAAGUUUAACAAAAAGAAAACUGGAACUAUUCAAGAAUAUCCGAGAAGAGAAAAUGCUUAGUAGAACAUCAACACCGUGUUUUCAAAGGUCGAGAUAUUGGAAGAAGACUGCAUAGUUCCGUUUUUGUAUCAUAAUGAUUUCGGAUACCUUCCAUGACAUGGGGACGUACGCUCCGAUAGUGUUGGCAGUGGCGCGAGUUAAGGAACGUGUUAUUUAUAACAUUAUAUCACCAAAAUAUCGUAAGCAAACAAGCAUCAAAACAACCUUAUCUUUGAACCAAGAUAAUGUAUCAAAACAACAUUGAACAAAAUACAUCAAAACCUAAUCUUAAAACAAAGGAAAUAUAGUAAAGCAAACAAUAUGUUAUAUAAUAUGUAUGUAAACAAACUAUCAACUAGUAAUAAGUAAACAUAGCAUUUAGUAUAAAUAGCAGUAAGAUCUAGGUAACAAGUUAGUGUUAUGAAUAUCAAUAAAGAGUACAUAUUUCGGCGCAGCUCAAAAGUAUAUCUUUAAUGACUCAUUUCGAAUAGACGAUAUUAACGCGCGGUACAAUAACGUGAAAACUCGUCACCGUUUUAUAUAUCUUGGUUUAAAAUUAAAAUGCCAUCUGUGCGGUGUGUUAAUUUAUUUGACAGUUUCUGUUAUAUUUGUUUAGUAUUAGCUUUCUGAUAUGCGAUUCCUAUGGUAUGGCGCAAGCAAAAGAACCAUAGUGAUGAUUGUUACUUUUAUUCGUGUAAAUUGAAAGGGUAUAAUUAAAAACGCAAGCAGUCAAUUUCAUACCGCAAUGGGUAAUCAGCUCGUUGCUCGGAUAACAAUCUGGGUUUACCAAAUUCCCUUGUAUUUUGUUUUGGUGCCUCUGGUGUCUCCCCAUAAAGUUCUUCUACCUCCGCUUCACAUAAUGUUGGGAUUGAUGAAGCAAUUUGUUAAGUCACUUCCAAGAGAUGAAAAUUGCCUCUAAUACUUAGUGUCAUAGUUCUUAGGACUUCACCAAGAUAUUAAGGAAAUGGGAAAAAGAUAGCAGGGAAGAUGGAGUGUGUCAAUGAUGACAGACUAUUAUUGGACGUUUCAUAGACUUUCCAGAUGUUUCCUACAAGCGAAAAUGUACCAAAAGGAGUCUCACUGGGAAAAAUAAAUGUGAUUAGUAUUUACUAAUAAUAAUAUAAAAUAAAAAAUUUUGUUACACAAA